ensembl:lncRNA
GGGAGCCUGACCAAACCAGGAGAAACUGUAAGCACUUUGUGUGAGCUUCUGACCAUGUUCACUAAAACAAGAGAUCCUCCUGCUGUCCAUGCUUCUAUUUGUUUGAUUCAGUAAGAUGAUUGCUGAAUAGGAAGUAAACUAACUGCAAAAAUGGGGAAGUCAAUACGACUUAAAAUACCAUAACAACGAGACUUUGCUGUGGUCACCCUUCAGUGCUGAGUACCCAGAGGAAGACUGUUUUCUGCUGAAAGCACUCAGACUGGCCCAAAAUGGGGACCUAAGUGGUUAUCAGUUACAAAGUUGCACUUGUCCUUGUGGGGUCAGCACUGUGGAGUUCGUGGGCAAUUUUGGAAGCAUUAAUGUUGUGUAAGCAGUGAAGAUGGAAAGCAGACACGGCAGCUGGCAAAGAGGGAUCCUCCUGCCAAUCCUUGCACUGGUGUCCCUGCCAUGGUACAUACCCAUUGCAUGGGCCUGCUCAUUUCCAAUGAAGACUCUUGAAACUUCUUGAUAUCCAGGAUCAAUUCAUGCUGAAUCAGUGGGUGAAUCAGCUCCGGAAUGACUGACACACUGACAGAAAUGAUGUGAC